UACGUAGGGUGCAAGCGUUGUCCGGAAUUAUUGGGCGUAAGCGCGCGCAGGCGGUCCUUUAAGUCUGAUGUGAAAGCCCACGGCUCAACCGUGGAGGGUCAUUGGAAACUGGGGGAGCUUGAGUGCAGAAGGAGGAAAGCGGAAUUCCACGUGUAGCGGUGAAAUGCGUAGAGAUGUGGAGGAACACCAGUGGCGAAGGCGGCUUUCUGGUCUGUAACUGACGCUGAGGCGCGAAAGCGUGGGGAGCAAACAGG
rnacentral:rRNA from 1 species